rnacentral:tRNA from 1 species
CGGGGCGUGGCUCAACUGGCUAGAGCGCUCGGUUCGGGACCGUGAGGUCGCUGGUUCAAAUCCAGUCGCCCCGA